UGAGUAAUCUGCCCUCCACUUUGGGAUAGCCACCGGAAACGGUGAUUAAUACCGGAUAUGACCUCGCAUCGCAUGGUGUGUGGUGGAAAGUUUUUCGGUGGGGGAUGUGCUCGCGGCCUAUCAGCUUGAUGGGUGGGGUAGUGGCCUACCAUGGCUUCGACGGGUAGCCGGCCUGAGAGGGUGACCGGCCACACUGGGACUGAGACACGGCCCAGACUCCGUACGGGA
rnacentral:rRNA from 1 species